rnacentral:rRNA from 1 species
GAUGAACGCUGGCGGCGUGCUUAACACAUGCAAGUCGAACGAGAAAGCACCUUCGGGUGUGAGUAGAGUGGCGAACGGGUGAGUAACACGUGAGCAACCUGCCUCUCACUUCGGAAUAACUCAGGGAAACCUGUGCUAAUACCGGAUACUCCGUACAUUCCGCAUGCUAUGUACGGGAAAGCCUUGUGCGGUGAGAGAUGGGCUCGCGGCCCAUUAGGUAGUUGGUGGGGUAACGGCCUACCAAGCCGACGAUGGGUAGCCGGGUUGAGAGACCGACCGGCCACAUUGGGACUGAGACACGGCCCAGACUCCUACGGGAGGCAGCAGUGGGGAAUUUUGCGCAAUGGGGGAAACCCUGACGCAGCAACGCCGCGUGCGGGAUGAAGGCCUUCGGGUUGUAAACCGCUUUCAGUAGGGAAGAAAAUGACGGUAC